ACCGCCGUUGGGUUGUAAACCCCUUUCAGCACAGACGAAGCGCAAGUGACGGUAUGUGCAGAAGAAGGACCGGCCAACUACGUGCCAGCAGCCGCGGUAAUACGUAGGGUCCGAGCGUUGUCCGGAAUUACUGGGCGUAAAGAGCUCGUAGGUGGUUUGUCACGUUGUUCGUGAAAACCCACAGCUCAACUGUGGGCGUGCGAGCGAUACGGGCAGACUAGAGUACUGCAGGGGAGACUGGAAUUCCUGGUGUAGCGGUGGAAUGCGCAGAUAUCAGGAGGAACACCGGUGGCGAAGGCGGGUCUCUGGGCAGUAACUGACGCUGAGGAGCGAAAGCGUGGGGAGCGAACAGGAUUAGAUACCCUGGUAGUCCACGCCGUAAACGGUGGGUACUAGGUGUGGGUUUCCUUCCUUGGGAUCCGUGCCGUAGCUAACGCAUUAAGUACCCCGCCUGGGGAGUACGGCCGCAAGGCUAAAACUCAAAGAAAUUGACGGGGGCCCGCACAAGCGGCGGAGCAUGUGGAUUAAUUCGAUGCAACGCGAAGAACCUUACCUGGGUUUGACAUGCACAGGACGCUGGUAGAGAUAUCAGUUCCCUUGUGGCCUGUGUGCAGGUGGUGCAUGGCUGUCGUCAGCUCGUGUCGUGAGAUGUUGGGUUAAGUCCCGCAACGAGCGCAACCCCUAUCUUAUGUUGCCAGCGCGUUAUGGCGGGGACUCGUAAGAGACUGCCGGGGUCAACUCGGAGGAAGGUGGGGAUGACGUCAAGUCAUCAUGCCCCUUAUGUCCAGGGCUUCACACAUGCUACAAUGGCCGGUACAGAGGGCUGCGAAUCCGUAAGGUGGAGCGAAUCCCUUCAAAGCCGGUCUCAGUUCGGAUCGGGGUCUGCAACUCGACCCCGUGAAGUCGGAGUCGCUAGUAAUCGCAGAUCAGCAACGCUGCGGUGAAUACGUUCCCGGGCCUUGUACACACCGCCCGUCACGUCAUGAAAGUCGGUAACACCCGAAGCCGGUGGCCUAACC
rnacentral:rRNA from 1 species